rnacentral:rRNA from 1 species
GGGAUUGGGGCUGCCUUAACAUGCAGUCGAACGGUAACAGGGAGCUUGCUCCGCUGACGAGUGGCGAACGGGUGAGUAAUACAUCGGAACGUGCCCAGUAAUGGGGGAUAGCUCGGCGAAAGCCGGAUUAAUACCGCAUACGCCCUGAGGGGGAAAGUGGGGGACCGCAAGGCCUCACGUUAUUGGAGCGGCCGAUGGCUGAUUAGCUAGUUGGUAGGGUAAAGGCCUACCAAGGCGACGAUCAGUAGCUGGUCUGAGAGGACGAUCAGCCACACUGGGACUGAGACACGGCCCAGACUCCUACGGGAGGCAGCAGUGGGGAAUUUUGGACAAUGGGGGAAACCCUGAUCCAGCAAUGCCGCGUGUGCGAAGAAGGCCUUCGGGUUGUAAAGCACUUUUGUCAGGGAAGAAAUCCUUUGGGCUAAUACCCUAGGGGGAUGACGGUACCUGAAGAAUAAGCACCGGCUAACUACGUGCCAGCAGCCGCGGUAAUACGUAGGGUGCAAGCGUUAAUCGGAAUUACUGGGCGUAAAGCGUGCGCAGGCGGUUGUGUAAGACAGGUGUGAAAUCCCCGGGCUUAACCUGGGAAUUGCAUUUGUGACUGCACGAC